ensembl:snRNA U2 U2 spliceosomal RNA
AUCGCUUCUUGGCCUUUUGGCUAAGAUCAAGUGUAGAAAUUGGUUUGACGUCAGAGUUGGGUUUGUAUUUGAGUUUGUUUCCAAACCUCUUGUACAAGAUAACACUAAGGACUUCCCUUUGUGCAUUUUUUUUCUGCCCAAGUUUCCCCUGGCAGUGAGAGUCAGGAAGAUUUGGGUUCAAUAA